AGAACGAACGCUGGCGGCAUGCCUAACACAUGCAAGUCGAACGAGACCUUUCGGGGUCUAGUGGCGCACGGGUGCGUAACGCGUGGGAAUCUGCCCCUUGGUUCGGAAUAACAGUUAGAAAUGACUGCUAAUACCGGAUAACGACGUAAGUCCAAAGAUUUAUCGCCGAGGGAUGAGCCCGCGUAGGAUUAGCUAGUUGGUGAGGUAAUGGCUCACCAAGGCGACGAUCCUUAGCUGGUCUGAGAGGAUGAUCAGCCACACUGGGACUGAGACACGGCCCAGACUCCUACGGGAGGCAGCAGUGGGGAAUAUUGGACAAUGGGCGAAAGCCUGAUCCAGCAAUGCCGCGUGAGUGAUGAAGGCCUUAGGGUUGUAAAGCUCUUUUACCAGGGAUGAUAAUGACAGUACCUGGAGAAUAAGCUCCGGCUAACUCCGCGCCAGCAGCCGC
rnacentral:rRNA from 1 species